AGGACGUCGCGCCCGGCGGCCGGACAUGGCUCUCCUGAUGGGAUCCGUAGGUCGCCAGUUGGGUCGCGUCGGGUGGCUCCAGACCCGGGCCAGGCCCGGGCUUCCCCACGCUUGGGGACUCCUCGCCACACAGCAGAACCGGGGUAAGGCGCGUGGCAACGAGUAUCAGCCGAGCAACAUCAAACGCAAGCACAAACACGGCUGGAUCCGGCGCCUGAGCACGCCAGCCGGCGUCCAGGUCAUCCUUCGCCGCAUGCUCAAAGGCCGCAAGUCGCUGAGCCACUGAGGAGCGCGAAGCUGCCGGCGGGACCCUACCCCGCCCCCCAGGGCCCCGCCCCAUUGGAGCAUUUCCCCUUCCUGGAACCGCUCCUGCUCUUGUUUUUGUGGGGAGCUGGGACAACUCAGACAUGAGCGCUCCUCGAACUGGGGGGAAGUCUAGGGUUGUACCGAAAGUAGAAGCAGGAGCUCAGACCUUGCCGAGUCUCUUUCUACGAUACUGAAUUAGGAAGAAUUCCGGACAUACAGUAGUGGUCACCAGUGAACCCCGUGGAUUCUGUUCACGGCUCUCACCACCAGUUACCCACAACCCACCUGCGCCCUCCUGUGUUAUUUGAGAGCAGAUCUCAGACAUUGGGUUAUUUCUUAAGUAUUUCAGAAUGCAUCUCUCCAAGAAAAGGGCUCUUAAAGACAUAAUCACAAAACUUUACACACCUAAAAAAAGUGGUUAAGAAUUCCUUAAUAUCAUUGCCUAAUAAAUGUUGAAAUUUCCAUUUUUUCUUAUUUACGUCAUUACUUUUAACAGGUCUGGAGGGUCUUGUGGGGAGUUGGGGUGUGAAUCCCCCUGCUCCUUGGGGAUGGGUUGUGUGACCUUGAGCAAGCCCUUGGCCCUCUGAGGCUCAUUUGGCUCCUAUGAAAUGAGGUGCUUAUUUCCCCUUGGCCGCAUUGUUGGAAUAAUAAUACUCAGUAGCCUCCACUUAGAACUUUUGAGUGCUUCCUAUGUACUGGGUGCUGGGUCCUUGUCUAACCUUGCUGCCUUCAAACUUAAAGGCAGUUUGGAGACAAAGUAGUCAGGGCUGAGAGGAGGAUUGUGAGGGCCAUGGGAGCCCAGAGGAAGUUUUGCUUGGCUUGGAUUUGGAAGAACGUAGUUACAGAGGGCUUCCUGGAAGCGGUUAGCAGGACCUGGGAGGGCCCAAAGGGAGAAAGGAUUAGAUCCAGGGGUCAGGAUAAAAGGAUACCCCCCGGAGGGUCCCGAAAUUCGGGGCCAAAGGAAUGAGACUGGGUCCUUGGGUGGCUGGGGAGCCACAGGGGCAUAUGAACAAGAGAAUCUGAGCUGUCAAUUCAAAGAGGAAGCAGCAAGUACGGAGCAGUUUAGAUAUGCCGAAACCUAGAGUUUGGAUUCUGCGGAGGAUGCUGGGAGUGUUGCGGUAGGUCCCUCUCUUCCGGGGCUGCUGUGCAAAUUGCAUGACACACCAUAUUAAAAAGUGAAGUAAACACUAGAAAAAGAAGAGACCUGCGGAACUCCCGGAGUUGUGGACUACAAGUCCCAAGAGGCCUCGGGGACAGGGCCUCCGCCCACUUCCGGAAUUUGCUGCCUUCGCUUCCAAUUCCCGGGCGGGGUUUUGCUUCCUCAACCGAACUUGACCACAAAGGGAGGAGGUGGGGUAGCCAAUGGACGCGUGACUUACGGGAUCUGGCCAAUGGGAAUGCGCAGAGGCCGCUACUUUGGAGGCGGGGCUAGAAGGCAGGCCAAUGAGGGGGGGCGGCGGCGCCAUCAGUGUGCGCUGUGCCGUGGCUGGAAGUUACUGUGCGGCGGCGGCUAAGAAGGCGGCUGUGGUGGUGGCUGCGGCGGCUGAGGCGGUGGCUGAGGCAGCGACGGAGGAAACAGAAGAUGGCAGAUUUUUUGAAAGGACUGCCUGUCUACAACAAAAGCAAUUUUAGUCGAUUUCAUGCUGACUCUGUGUGCAAAGCUUCGAACCGGCGUCCUUCAGUCUACCUGCCCACCCGGGAGUACCCAUCUGAACAGAUCAUCGUGACAGAAAAGACAAACAUCCUUUUGCGCUACCUACAUCAGCAAUGGGACAAAAAGAAUGCCGCAAAGAAGAGAGACCAGGAGCAAGUGGACCUUGAGGGUGAGAGCUCUGCACCCCCCCGCAAGGUCGCACGGACCGAUAGCCCGGACAUGCAUGAGGACACUUAAGACUCUCACUCCCCCACAGGCGCCUCCUGUCUUGUCUGCUCCUCGCCCGCCCGCCUUGUGUAAGCGCCCCCUGCCCUGCCCCUACCGGCCCACCACACCUGACCAUACCACUUCCAACCUCAUAGGAGCCGAUGUAUUUAUUUUCCUUGAGUUUUUAUUUAUGCUGUAAAAUGUACCAAGCGAUGGUUAAAGGGGACGUCAGACCCAGUAGUGUGAUGUUGGUAGAUGCUUUUUAAAAAACAUUGUUAUUCACAAACCCCACUACCCAGAACCCCCUUUUACUCCCCCACCCCCCUCCAAUUCUCCUCCGGAAAAACCAGAGCUUGUCUGCAAGGGUCUAGAGCCAGGGCCCUGCUGUGGCCCAGCAGCAUGGGUGGGAGCCUUUCUCCCUGCUCCUGCUCUCCAGUCCGGGCCUUAAAGACUUGGCUGGGACCUAUUCUGUGCCCAGGCUUUGCUCUGAAUGUGUGCCAGGGGGAGAAGUCGGCAUUUCCGGAUCUUUCUCUUAAGUCAUUUUAUCAUGGACUAGUGCGUGCUCCGUGUCCACCCCAAUAAAAGGAUCUUUCCUACUCGACCUCGCGUCUUUGCUCCGUGUGCCUCAGCCCCAGAGGACGGAGCCACUGAGAGUCGACUCGUCAUCACCAAGAGGAGCCAAGAGGGGCCCCCACGUGCCAGGGCCCUGGGACCCACUGGAUUCUCUCAUGGGCCUGCCAUGGCCACCUCGCUCAGAGCCAAGACCUGUCUGGACCCACCCCCAUGCCUCACCUGACAAGGUGUCCCAAAGGACCAGGACACCCCUGAGAGAUGGUCCAUGUCGCCAAGGACAUAACUGUGGUCAACCCGCGCCCUGGAUGCCUUGGGUCAGGGUGGCAUGCCCACCAGCCACUGUGGAGACAGCCCAGGUGGCCUGGCCUCAAGUGCGCCUGAUUCAGAGAUGAGGUGCACGGAGCUGCAAGGAACACCCAGCCCAGGGGCUGUGUCGGUCAGCGGAGUUCCACAGCCACUCGUGGGCUGUCAGCUAGGCUGAGUUGGGCCUGAGCUUGGAGACCUAGGGGGCGUUCAGGCUCUAGGCAGAAGGUUUGAGGCUUCGAACACUGGGCCUGGGGCUAGGGGGAGCUCUGUUUCUCCCUCUGCACCAGUCUCAAGUGGGGGCCAUGUCUGGGAACUGAGUGCUGUGGCUUUUUGGGGAGAUGAAUGGUUGGGCUAUGGAGCUGGAAGGAAUACCAGGCCUUAGGGGGAACCCACCCCAGAUUAUCACUGUGGAGGGCCCUGACUGAGCCAGACUGCUCCGGAAUGGGCCACCCAUUGCCUCCCAGGUGGAAGGUUCUAGGGUUCACCACCUAGGUGUGCCCUGGGGCCAAGGAGCUUUUCCUCCUAGCUCUGGGUGGCUUUUAUACCUGUGUUGAGUCCUUUCAGUCACAGAUGCAAGCUGACCUGGGUGGUGCUCUGGUGGGCUGAGUCCCCAGAGGUGCUCAGAUGCCUUGGAAUCUCCAGCCCCAGGGCUUGGUCUGAUGCUAGGCAGGCAUGUGGUGUUGCUAAUUAUUAGCUUCAAAGGCCACAGGACAGUGGGAACAGGUGUCACUGCUGCCCUUGCCUCUUGCCCUGGUUCCCCGAGAGACUGGGUUCGUCUCCUGUCAGCAUAAUCCGUGGCUCAGGCAGGGGUCCCAGAGCCAGGGACCACGGAGGUCUCCUGAGUGUGGGCUCCUCAGCCAGCCUUUGCCCACUUUUCCUGCCUUUGGGACCGCCCCUUAUUCCUCUGCUCCUUCAGACACCAAACUCUGCCUUCCCACACCUCUGUGCCUUUGCACAGGCUGCUCUCCUGCUUCUGGUGAACCCUGGUUUCUCUUUCAUAACCCUCCAAAGUGCCCCUUCCUCACACUGGCUCCCCCAGAACCCCCCAGCCACUCGGCAGGGCCCACUAGACUCGGAGCCUUUGGCUGUGGACACGCUUGAGGGUGGGAGGGGCUGCACACCCCCCCUGACCACACGAGGUAGAAGUAGAGUCCCAGCAACUGGGUCUGACAGCAA
rnacentral:lncRNA from 1 species